rnacentral:rRNA from 1 species
GACGAACGCUGGCGGCGUGCUUAACACAUGCAAGUCGAACGGAAAGGCCCUGCUUUUGUGGGGUGCUCGAGUGGCGAACGGGUGAGUAACACGUGAGUAACCUGCCCUUGACUUUGGGAUAACUUCAGGAAACUGGGGCUAAUACCGGAUAGGAGCUCCUGCUGCAUGGUGGGGGUUGGAAAGUUUCGGCGGUUGGGGAUGGACUCGCGGCUUAUCAGCUUGUUGGUGGGGUAGUGGCUUACCAAGGCUUUGACGGGUAGCCGGCCUGAGAGGGUGACCGGCCACAUUGGGACGGAGAUACGGCCCAGACUCCUACGGGAGGAAGCAGGGGGGAAUAUUGCACAAUGGGCGGAAGCCUGAUGCAGAAACGCCGCGUGCGGGAUGACGGCCUUCGGGUUGUAAACCGCUUUCGCCUGUGACGAAGCGUGAGUGACGGUAAUGGGUAAGAAGCACCGGCUAACUACGUG